UCCCGGAUAGCUCAAUCGGUAGAGCGAGCGGCUGUUAACCGCUAGGUUCCAGGUUCGAGUCCUGGUCCGGGAGC
rnacentral:tRNA from 1 species